UGGGGAAUAUUGGACAAUGGGCGCAAGCCUGAUCCAGCCAUGCCGCGUGAGUGAUGAAGGCCCUAGGGUUGUAAAGCUCUUUCACCGGUGAAGAUAAUGACGGUAACCGGAGAAGAAGCCCCGGCUAACUUCGUGCCAGCAGCCGCGGUAAUACGAAGGGGGCUAGCGUUGUUCGGAUUUACUGGGCGUAAAGCGCACGUAGGCGGACUUUUAAGUCAGGGGUGAAAUCCCGGGGCUCAACCCCGGAACUGCCUUUGAUACUGGAAGUCUUGAGUAUGGUAGAGGUGAGUGGAAUUCCGAGUGUAGAGGUGAAAUUCGUAGAUAUUCGGAGGAACACCAGUGGCGAAGGCGGCUCACUGGACCAUUACUGACGCUAAGGUGCGAAAGCGUGGGGAGCAAACAGG
rnacentral:rRNA from 2 species